rnacentral:lncRNA from 1 species
UAUGUUAUUUUCUUCUUAGGAUUUUAUUACGUGACGCCCCAAUAGUCCCAUAUAAGAUUAAAAAAAUAAUUUUAAUUGAAAUAUAUGAGACUUCGCACGCUAAUACUAAUAACAAUAAUAACUAAUCGUAAACAUUUUGGGUUGGUCGAUCGACCCGUUACAUUUGGGCUCAAAGAUGAAUACUAGCUAGAAGUGUGAGAACUAUAAGUGCUAUACCACAGGGUUGGUGGGAACCAUCUCUGUAAUCUCACAUCGCCUGGUAAUUCUGAUCUGUGUUUGUGAUCUACGAUUAGGUCCGGAUCUGAGAGGACUUCGGGAUCUAAACA